rnacentral:snRNA from 13 species
GUGCUCGAUUUGGCAGCACCUACACUAAAAUUGGGACACAACACAGAAGACCGGCAUGGCUGCAGUGCAAGACUGACACGCAGAUGUCUGCAGCAUUUUGUAUUUUU